GUCAGCAGCUUAGCUGGCAGCUAGCACUCAGCAUCUCUCACAUGGUCGCCCACUGAAGCUAAGCAGGGUUGCACCCGGUUAGUACCUGGAUGAGAGACCCCAUGGGAAAGCUAGGUUGCUGUUGGAA
ensembl:rRNA 5S_rRNA 5S ribosomal RNA